UACGUAGGUGGCAAGCGUUGUCCGGAUUUACUGGGCGUAAAGCGUGUGUAGGCGGUCCACUAAGUCGGGUGUGAAAGCCCUGGGCUCAACCCAGGAAGUGCACUCGAAACUGGUGGGCUAGAGUAUCGGAGAGGUUGGUGGAAUUCUCGGUGUAGAGGUGAAAUUCGUAGAUAUCGAGAGGAACACCGGUGGCGAAGGCGGCCAACUGGACGAAUACUGACGCUGAGACACGAAAGCGUGGGGAGCAAACAGG
rnacentral:rRNA from 1 species